GACGAACGCUGGCGGCGUGCCUAAUACAUGCAAGUAGAACGCACAGUUUAUACCGUAGCUUGCUACACCAUAGACUGUGAGUUGCGAACGGGUGAGUAACGCGUAGGUAACCUGCCUGGCAGCGGGGGAUAACUAUUGGAAACGAUAGCUAAUACCUUAUAAUAUUAAUUAUUGCAUGAUAAUUAAUUGAAAGGUGCAAUUGCACCACUACCAGAUGGACCUGCGUUGUAUUAGCUAGUAGGUGAGGUAACGGCUCACCUAGUCGACGAUACAUAGCCGAACUGAGAGGGUGAUCGGCCACACUGGGACUGGGACAAGGCCCAGACUCCUAAGGGAGGCAGCAGGAGGGAAUCUUCGGGAAGAGACGAAAGUCUGAACGAGGAACGCCGCGGGAGUGAAGAAGGUUUUCGGAUCGUAAAGCUCUGUUGUAAGAGAAGAACGGGUGUGAGAGUGGAAAGUUCACACUGUGACGGUACCUUACCAGAAAGGGACGGCUAACUACGUG
rnacentral:rRNA from 1 species